rnacentral:lncRNA from 1 species
AAGGGUCUUGUCUUGGUAAGGAAUUGACUUGAUCGCAUAGAAUACUUAUUGUGAACAGCAAGGUAAAAAGGAAGCUUAUUGCGACUUUACUGGGGAUUUAAGGAGAGCAAAGGAAGAAAAGAAUCACUAAACUUAACUACAGAAGCUUCUAAACCUGGUUUCCGUGUUUGUAAGUCUGCUGUUCUAUUCCGAUGGAAGAUGAGAUGAGACCACCCAGAAGUGACUUCAGAGAAAGAAUGAAGAAAACCUAAGAGUACCAAUCUGAAUGUAGAUCUAGAAAAGCCACGAUGGGGACGCAGUCUGGUCAAUCUGAGUAUCAGUCUGUUCAUAGUCCCAAAGCAAAACCACCUGCUACAUGCAUUAGUAUUUUGUUCCAAUAAUGUUGCUGUCUUUUCCUUUUCUUUUGGUAGGUCUGCUGAGCCAAGCAUCAUCAUUUGAGUACACGUUGACGGUGCCUCCCUCCUCUUAUGUGCAGCAAGGCUCCUCCCUUUACAUUCCCUGCCAGUUCACAUAUAACAGGAGAGAUGCUUACUGGUUGGGGGAGACAAUAACUGUCUACUGGUUGAAGUUUGCAGAAGGAACCAGACACUGUUUUGAUUACAGCCCAUCAAGGUGCUUUCCUGGUAUUCUUAUGGCCACAAACCCACAGGCUGUGGAUAAAUUGACUCAAAACCGUUUCUUUGGAGUGGGAGAUCCAAACCAAGGCAACUGUUCCUUUCUCAUUGUGGAUGCCCAACCCGAAGACGAGGGGAACUACUACUUGAGAAUUCACGGGAGCAGCAGGCUAAAGUACAGUUAUUCGCCUCCAAAACACAUUUCACCUCACAUUAUGAUGACAGAACAACCUCAGAUCGUCAGAAUCAGAAAGAAAGAAGACGAUCAACACGCUGGUGAGAUCUGAAAUGCAAAACGCUUUUGUAUGUCUGUGUCAACCUGCAUGCAAAAUAUGGAUGUUCAAGUGCUUUUUAAUGUAUGCUCUUGGGCCAUCCAUCCCUCCUUUCCAAGUAAAAACUCAGCACGAAAACGAAGCACUGCAUCUUUCCAUAUGUAAAUGCCAAAUGUUUGGAUUCAUUGUCUCUCCAAUAGUCAUUACCGAAAGCCACCUCAUGAAGCCAUAAAAUUGUGAUCCCUUAUAAUCUUUCUGCACUGACAAAACCUAGGAUCUCAAGAACAGCCGGGUCUGUCCUCAGCAGCCAAUCUUUAGCGAUAUCCUUCAGGGCAGUGGUUGCCCAUCUUGGGUCACCCAGGUGUUCAUGGA